rnacentral:snRNA from 1 species
AUCGCUUCUCGGCCUUUUGGCUAAGAUCAAGUAUAGUAUGCACCAAAACAGCACAUUGUAUAAAAGCAAUUUUUUUUUUUUUUUUUUUAUUGUAAUAAACUGUU